GCAGCAGCCGCGGGAAUACGAAGGGUGCAAGCGUUACUCGGAAUUACUGGGCGUAAAGCGUGCGUAGGUGGUGGUUUAAGACCGUUGUGAAAGCCCUGGGCUCAACCUGGGAAUUGCAGUGGAUACUGGGUCACUAGAGUGUGGUAGAGGAUAGUGGAAUUUCCGGUGUAGCAGUGAAAUGCGUAGAGAUCGGAAGGAACAUCUGUGGCGAAGGCGACUAUCUGGGCCAACACUGACACUGAGGCACGAAAGCGUGGGGAGCAAACAGGAUUAGAUACCCCCGUAGUCCCUGUCUCUUAUAC
rnacentral:rRNA from 1 species